GGUAAAAGUAGAUUUAAAAGUGACCAAAGCUCCUUCAAAUCAUUCUGUAAUGGUGUCCCUGUGAGAAGUAAGCGCCUCUGGCAGCGAUAUCUAUCAAGAUCACGGGCUAAAACUGAUUCCCUGUCCUUCAUUCUCUGUGCUUCUGUGCUUCAUCAAUUAUGAUAUACUUCCAAUCCACCUUAGAAAGUUUUGACCGAUCAUACAUGAUAAAUUC
rnacentral:misc_RNA from 1 species